rnacentral:lncRNA from 1 species
CCUGACUAGCAGAGAACUUACAGAGUUGGGAGGGAUACGUGGCCCCGUCCCACAGAAACAGCACUGGAAAGUAAAACCUAAAAAGAUUCUGUGAAGCCAAGAAGAGGGUGUUGUCUUUAAAGGCAUUCUUCAUUUUUCCUGAAAUGAUUAAUAAAUCUAUUUGCUAGCCUUCUUCGGCUGCCUCUCACUGAACAGACUUGCCAGUGUUUUCCAGCAGAGAGAUGACAGUCCCUGCGGUCACCCUUGUUGCUGCCUUCCUGGAUCACUGCAACCGCUGCCUGCUGGAGCCCAGUGGAGUGUCCAGAACAUCAAUGUGGAGAUGGAUUCGUCUCCCUGCUCCCAGCUUCCAUCCCCAUGGACCCUUUCCGUCCUCCCGGCCAGAUUAAUCUCAGAGGGCGAUGGGAGGAGACGGCUGGAGCGCAGGUUUGGAACCAGAGACCUCAGUGUCAACUUCUCAGUGCUCCUCCACUUCCUGGCUACAGAGUUGCUUAAAUUAGAUAAACUACAAAACGAGAGACAACCAGCCAUUUUGUGCCUCCUCAUGAAAAUAUACAUCACGACCUCUAAGUAUUGUCACCAAAAGAUGGACUUGGAAUGUGAUCGAGCCCUUGUAAACAGCCAGCACUACCAGUUUACAGGAAAACAAAGGGGAGGGAAACACAUUGCACUAAAGAAGGGCAUGCAUCAGCCAACUUCAGAAUGUGCAAACACUCAGGACGGAUCCUAGUUUCUUCAACAAAUAAUCUCCAAGGGAAAAAAGGAAACGGAGGAGGAGCUUUUCAAUUAAAAGGGACUUAAGAGACAUAACAACCACUUUCAAUGUAUACGCUUUAUUUGGAUUGUGAUUGAAACAAAAGAAAUUAUUUGUUUUUAAUAUAUGUGACAAUCAAGCGAAUGUGAACAAUGGCUGGAUAUUUGAUGACAUAGAUAUUAAGGAAUUAUUAUUAAUUCAGCAACAAUAAUAGUACUGUGGUUUUUUUUUUUCUAAGACACAGUCUCGGUCUGUCAACCAGGCUGGAGUGCAGUGGCGCAAUCUCGGCUCACUGCACCCUCCACCUUCUGGGUUCAAGCGACUCUCCUGCCUCAGGCUCCUGAGUAGCUGGGAUUACAGGUACAUGCCACCGCACCUGGCUAAUUUUUAUAUUUUUAGUAGAGAUGGGGUUUCACUAUGUUGGUCAGGCUAGUCUCGAACUCCUGACCUUGUGAUCUGCCCGCCUCGCCCUCCCAAACUGCUGGGAUCACAAGCGUGAGCCGCUGUGCCCGGCUUCCCACUGUAGUUAUUUUUUUUAAGAGUCUUUAUCUUUUAAAGACAUACAUUGAAAUAUUUGUGGUUGAAGAGAUGUGACAACUGGGAUUUCCUUCAAAGUAAUUACUGGAGGGAUGAUAAAGGGGAUAUCAAUGAAACAAGAUUGGCCAUAAGUUGACAAUUGCUGAAGCUAAGUGAUGGAUACAUGGAGAGUUUAUUAUACUAUUUUCUCUUUUUUUGUAUAUGUUUGUAAUUUUCCAAUUUUCUUAAUCUUUUUUAUUGUUUUCAUCCUGUACUUUCUGGGAUUCUGGAUUGUAUUUUUGUAUUUCAUGUAUCAUUUAACAUGCUCCUCUGUUCUCUGCUGGCCUGUAACCUAUUGGUAGUAUUUAGAGACUUGACGCCAUAGAAGCUCUAUUUUUGGCAAGAAUACUUUAUGGGUGAUUUUUGUACUUUUAUCAAGAGGCACAUAAUAGUCCAUAAUAAAAACAUUUCUUAAAGCUGAAAAAUGAAGAUGCUUCCUGGAGAGAUAAUUUUGAGAUGAAAUUAUUUAUGUAAGUAAAAGACCAAGCACAGAGCUUGGCACAUCAUGGGUGCUUUACAGGUGUCAGAUUUCUUCCCUCAACCUAUUAAUAAGCUCUCUAAUAAUGUCCAUGAUCUAUUGGAUCAAGAUUUAAGUACACAUAGAAUUCCAGAUCUCCCAUGAUCUGUUCCUGGUUUACCUUUCUGUCUAGUCUUAUUGCCUUCCUCUCUUUAAACACACACACACACACACACACACACACACACACACACACACACACACACACACUGCAUUCAUUAACCUCAUUCCUUAGCUUACACCAGU